UGAGUUGUAGCUCAAUGGCAGAGCUCGUGCUUUGCAUGCAAUGGGUCCCAGGUUCAAUUUUUGGCAUCUCCA